GACGAACGCUGGCGGCGUGCUUAACACAUGCAAGUCGAACGGUGAAGCUCCAGCUUGCUGGAGUGGAUCAGUGGCGAACGGGUGAGUAACACGUGAGCAACCUGCCCCUGACUCUGGAAUAAGCGCUGGAAACGGCGGCUAAUACUGGAUACGAGAAGGGUCCGCAUGGGCACUUUCUGGAAAGUUUUUCGGUUGGGGAUGGGCUCGCGGCCUAUCAGCUUGUUGGUGAGGUAAUGGCUCACCAAGGCGACGACGGGUAGCCCGCCUGAGAGGGCGACCGGCCACACUGGGACUGAGACACGGCCCAGACUCCUACGGGAGGCAGCAGUGGGGAAUAUUGCACAAUGGGCGAAAGCCUGAUGCAGCGACGCCGCGUGAGGGAUGACGGCCUUCGGGUUGUAAACCUCUUUCAGCAGGGAAGAAGCGAAAGUGACGGUACCUGCAGAAGAAGCACCGGCUAACUACGUG
rnacentral:rRNA from 1 species